GUGCACGCUGGCGGUAGGCCUAACACAUGCAAGUCGAACGGCAGCACAGUAAGAGCUUGCUCUUACGGGUGGCGAGUGGCGGACGGGUGAGGAAUACAUCGGAAUCUACUUUUUCGUGGGGGAUAACGUGGGGAAACUUACGCUAAUACCGCAUACGACCUACGGGUGAAAGCAGGGGAUCUUCGGACCUUGCGCGAUUGAAUGAGCCGAUGUCGGAUUAGCUAGUUGGCGGGGUAAAGGCCCACCAAGGCGACGAUCCGUAGCUGGUCUGAGAGGAUGAUCAGCCACACUGGAACUGAGACACGGUCCAGACUCCUACGGGAGGCAGCAGUGGGGAAUAUUGGACAAUGGGCGCAAGCCUGAUCCAGCCAUACCGCGUGGGUGAAGAAGGCCUUCGGGUUGUAAAGCCCUUUUGUUGGGAAAGAAAAGCAGCAGGUUAAUACCCCGCUGUUCUGACGGUACCCAAAGAAUAAGCACCGGCUAACUUCGUG
rnacentral:rRNA from 1 species